rnacentral:misc_RNA from 1 species
UCCUUCUUAUCGAAGGCAGUUUCUCAAGAGUGCAUCCCUUGCGGGAUUAGCAACAUGAGAUGGGGGUUGCGCUCGUUGCGGGACUUAACCCAACAUCUCACGACACGAGCUGACGACAACCAUGCAGCACCUCUGCUCGCUCCCUUGCGGGUCGGCCAAUGUUUCUAUCGGCCUACCACGAGUAGUUCAAGCCCAGGUAAGGUUCUUCGCGUUGCGUCGAAUUAAACCACAUGCUCCACCGCUUGUGCGGGCCCCCGUCAAUUCCUUUGAGUUUCAACCUUGCGGCCGUACUCCCCAGGCGGUUCAUUUAAUGCGUUAGCGCCGACGCGGAAGGGGUCGAUACCUCCCACAUCUAAUGAACAUCGUUUAGGGCUAGGACUAC